UCUGACCGAGCACGCCGCGUGAGUGAAGAAGGUUUUCGGAUCGUAAAACUCUGUUGUUAGAGAAGAACAAGGAUGAGAGUAGAACGUUCAUCCCUUGACGGUAUCUAACCAGAAAGCCACGGCUAACUACGUGCCAGCAGCCGCGGUAAUACGUAGGUGGCAAGCGUUGUCCGGAUUUAUUGGGCGUAAAGCGAGCGCAGGCGGUUUCUUAAGUCUGAUGUGAAAGCCCCCGGCUCAACCGGGGAGGGUCAUUGGAAACUGGGAGACUUGAGUGCAGAAGAGGAGAGUGGAAUUCCAUGUGUAGCGGUGAAAUGCGUAGAUAUAUGGAGGAACACCAGUGGCGAAGGCGGCUCUCUGGUCUGUAACUGACGCUGAGGCUCGAAAGCGUGGGGAGCGAACAGGAUUAGAUACCCUGGUAGUCCACGCCGUAAACGAUGAGUGCUAAGUGUUGGAGGGUUUCCGCCCUUCAGUGCUGCAGCAAACGCAUUAAGCACUCCGCCUGGGGAGUACGACCGCAAGGUUGAAACUCAAAGGAAUUGACGGGGGCCCGCACAAGCGGUGGAGCAUGUGGUUUAAUUCGAAGCAACGCGAAGAACCUUACCAGGUCUUGACAUCCUUUGACCACUCUAGAGA
rnacentral:rRNA from 1 species